rnacentral:tRNA from 1 species
GUAUAGCUCAGUGGUAGAGCGCAUGCUUAGCACACAUGCGGUCUGGGGUUCAAUCCCAGUAACUACA